CGGGGGAGUCAGAGAGAAAGGUGGACAGAUAGAGAGGCGGGGGAGUCAGAGAGAAAGAUGGACAGAUAGAGGGCGGGGGAGUCAGAGAGAAAGAUGGACAGAUAGAGGGGCGGGGGAGUCAGAGAGAAAGAUAGACAGAUAGAGGGGCGGGGGAGUCAGAGAGAAAGAUAGACAGAUAGAGAGGCGGGGGAGUCAGAGAGAAAGAUGGACAGAUAGAGGGGCGGGGGAGUCAGAGAGAAAGAUGGACAGAUAGAGGGGCGGGGGAGUCAGAGAGAAAGAUAGACAGAUAGAGAGGCGGGGGAGUCAGAGAGAAAGAUAGACAGAUAGAGGGGCGGGGGAGUCAGAGAGAAAGAUAGACAGAUAGAGGGGCGGGGGAGUCAGAGAGAAAGAUGGACAGAUAGAGAGGUGGGGGAGUCAGAGAGAAAGAUGGACAGAUAGAGGGGCGGGGGAGUCAGAGAGAAAG
ensembl:lncRNA